rnacentral:rRNA from 1 species
UCAAGCGCAUAAGGGCUUCUGACGGAUGCCUUGGCAUUGAGAGGCGAUGAAGGACGUGGCACGCUGCGAUAAGAGCCGGGGAGGCGCGAGCACCCUUUGAUCCGGCUAUCUCCGAAUGGGGAAACCCACCUUAAUGACCAUUCCACUUACUUUCGGCUUCGGCCGGAGGCGUAGUGGUGUGGUUGUGACAGGUAUAAUGGGCUGAAUACAUAGGCUCCAUUAAGCAAACCCGGGGAACUGAAACAUCUCAGUACCCGGAGGAAAGGACAUCAACCGAGACUCCCGUAGUAGUGGCGAGCGAACCGGGACCAGGCCAGUGCUGUCGUGACAUAAAGCUGAACGACUUGGAAAGGUCGGCCAUAGUGGGUGAUAGCCCCGUAAGCGUCAAAUAGCGACAGACUCGAGUAGGGCGGGACACGUGAAAUCCUGUCUGAACAUGGGGGGACCACCCUCCAAGCCUAAGUACUCCUCAAUGACCGAUAGCGAACAAGUACCGUGAGGGAAAGGUGAAAAGCACCCCGACAAGGGGAGUGAAACAGAUCCUGAAAUCGGAAGCCUACAAGCAGUCGGAGCCACCGCGCGUGGUGACGGCGUACCUUUUGUAUAAUGGGUCAGCGACUUCAUGUGCCGUGCAAGCUUAAGCCGUUAGGUGUAGGCGCAGCGAAAGCGAGUCUGAAUAGGGCGAAUAAGUACGUCGCAUGACGACCCGAAACCAGGUGAUCUAUCCAUGAGCAGGUUGAAGGUAAGGUAACACUUACUGGAGGACCGAACCGGUGAAUGUUGAAAAAUUCUCGGAUGACUUGUGGAUAGGGGUGAAAGGCCAAUCAAACCUGGACAUAGCUGGUUCUCCGCGAAAACUAUUUAGGUAGUGCCUCAGACGGACUCCUCGGGGGGUAGAGCACUGAAUGGAUGCGGGGGGAGCGAUCUCUACCAAUUCUAAUCAAACUCCGAAUACCCGAGAGAGAUAUCUGGGAGACACACGGCGGGUGCUAACGUCCGUCGUGAAAAGGGAAACAACCCUAACCAUCAUCUAAGGCCCCCAAGUUCUGGCUAAGUGGGAAACGAUGUGGGUUUGCUUUGACAACCAGGAUGUUGGCUUAGAAGCAGCCAUCAUUUAAAGAAAGCGUAACAGCUCACUGGUCAAGCGAACCUGCGCGGAAAAUGUAACGGGGCUCAAGCCAGACGCCGAAGGUAUGGGUUUGCUCUUUGAGCAAGCGGUAGCGGAGCGUUCCGUAAGCCGGUGAAGGUGAGGCGUGAGCCUUGCUGGAGGUAUCGGAAGUGAGAAUGCUGACAUGAGUAGCGAUAAAGAGUGUGAGAGACACUCUCGCCGAAAGCCCAAGGGUUCCUGCGUAAAGCUAAUCUGCGCAGGGUUAGUCGGCCCCUAAGGCGAGGCCGAAAGGCGUAGUCGAUGGGAAUCAGGUGAAUAUUCCUGAACCAGUUGGAAGUGACGGAUCUGGUAAAUUGUCUAGGCUUAUUGGAUUGCUCUGGGCAGUGAACAGGUCCCUGGAAAUAACUCCAACGGAGACCGUACCCGAAACCGACACAGGUGGGCAGGUAGAGUAUACCAAGGCGCUUGAGAGAACUAUGCUGAAGGAACUCGGCAAAUUGCACGCGUAACUUCGGGAUAAGCGUGACUCUUAUUUGGGCAACCAGAUAAGAGUGGCACAGGCCAGGGGGUAGCGACUGUUUAUCAAAAACACAGGGCUCUGCGAAGCCGCAAGGCGACGUAUAGGGUCUGACGCCUGCCCGGUGCCGGAAGGUUAAAAGGAGCGGUGCAAGCUGCGAAUUGAAGCCCCGGUAAACGGCGGCCGUAACUAUAACGGUCCUAAGGUAGCGAAAUUCCUUGUCGGGUAAGUUCCGACCUGCACGAAUGGCGUAA